rnacentral:rRNA from 1 species
UACGUAGGGUCCGAGCGUUGUCCGGAAUUACUGGGCGUAAAGAGCUCGUAGGUGGUUUGUCGCGUUGUUCGUGAAAACUCACAGCUCAACUGUGGGCGUGCGGGCGAUACGGGCAGACUAGAGUACUGCAGGGGAGACUGGAAUUCCUGGUGUAGCGGUGGAAUGCGCAGAUAUCAGGAGGAACACCGGUGGCGAAGGCGGGUCUCACUGGGCCCGAUACUGACGCUGAGGUGACGAAAGCGUGGGGAGCAAACAGG